AAGAUAAAAAUCGCGACAUCGGCUGUGAUGUGCCGCGCGACGUCACCGAGGAGGUAACGAACGGCGACAUGGCGGCCUCCGGUUCCGGGAUGGGCGAGUCCGAUUUCGCUGGCCCCCUCUCGGCUCCUCCUCCCACGACGACGGCGGCAGACGGAGAGCCGUCCGUCGAGAAGAAGGGCGAGCCCUCCCCCUCUUACCCCCCCGCCCGAUUGCCCUCCCGAAACGCUUCCUCCAAGUACGACUUCGUCAAGGUGAAAGUAUGGCUGGGGGACAAUGCGGAUCAUUACUACGUUCUGUCCAGAUUUCUUCUUAGCAGGAUGUUAACAGUAACGAAGAUUCCUAAUCAUGUGGCUAUCAAGAUUGCUCUUGAACUCAAAAAGCUGCUUGUAGACAAUAGCCUUCUUGAUGUUUCGCAAUCUGAUCUGGAAACUAAUCUUUUUAAGCUUAUGCUGCGAAGGGGUUAUGGAGAAGAGUACAUAAACCGUUAUAAGAUGAUGACCAGGUUUCAUCACCAAAGAGUACCACUAGUUAUUCUUGUAUGUGGAACUGCAUGUACUGGGAAAUCGACAAUUGCAACACAACUUGCUCAAAGACUAAAUUUACCAAAUGUCUUGCAGACAGAUAUGGUGUAUGAAUUAUUGCGCACAUCAACAGAUGCUCCAUUGACAUCUACACCAGUCUGGGUUCGAGAUUUUGAUUCAUCUGAAGAGCUUAUAACAGAGUUCUGCAGAGAAUGCAGAAUUGUUCGUAAAGGCUUGGCUGGUGAUCUGAAGAAGGCGAUGAAAGAUGGGAAGCCUAUCAUAAUUGAGGGUAUACACUUGGAUCCAAGUAUUUAUCUAAUGGAGGAGGAGAAUAAAGAUUCCCAUACAAAAGACAGAGAAUCAGGAACUUUGGUGGAGGAUUCUGCGAAACCAGUGGAAAAUAUACUAGAUAAUGCUACCGAACAGAGCCAGUCUGCAUCUGCAAGUGAUGCUGAGAAUACUAUGACCUACUCAGUAACUGAAGGAACUGUGGAUGAGAGGGAUGCUUCUCAAACUGAGGUUACCAAUUGCUCAAGAGCUACUAGUGUUGCAGAAAUUGCUUCUGGACCUCAAGGCGAAGUUCAUAAAGAUUCAGAGUUACAAAGUAGUAACUCUUACAAAAAAGAAAAAUCAGCUACCGAACCAAUAAUCGUACCAAUAGUUCUGAAGAUGUCUGAGUUUGAUCACAAGGCUCUGCUAGAGGAAUGGAUUACCACUAGAACAGUUAAAGAUAAAUGCCUAGUUCAGGACCAGAAUAAGCUUAUAAGCAAUCUCAAAAUUAUUCAGGAAUAUCUUUGCUCUUUUGAGUCACAGGGUAUGACUGUUGUAAACAUCUCUGCCACAACGUUCCCUCAAACAUUGGAUCGGCUCCAUAGCUAUCUUCUUCAGUGUAUCGAACAAGGUGUUUCUGCAGUAACUUCCAGAAGCAGCAGAUCAGAGAAGAAUUAAGGUAGUCAGAGCUAUAAAAUUUCAGUUGGCAGGGCCUCCCGUGAUGCUCCAUCACCCAGUGUCUUUAGUCUCGAGAGGCUUAGCGGCUGAGGCGUUUUCUUAGAUGGUUCUGCAUCCACAUGCAAGAAUUCUCCAGCAUCCAAUAUAUGCACUUUCUAUGAUACGUAGGGAACUGUAAUGUUAAUGAGACAUGGAAUUCUAGACGUCCGUUAUAGUGUGACAUGUCUUUUGAGCAUAUGGGUUCUCAAUAAUUCAGACUCCCUAUGUUUUGGAGGCAGCGAUCGGGGAUGUCGGAACUCACCUGCGAGGACAGCAUUGCUUCCAAUCGCGAUGCAGGGAGCAUCAAGAAGUAAGCCAUACGCGUCUCUGCCGUCUUAUUGGAGGAGCGCGAUGGGAAUCGUGGAGGAUCCACAUGUGGGACCAUCCCUGUUCCUGUGGGAAACGCGGGUACGUCGGCCGGUGAUGUUUCCUAUCCUCCAUGCAUCAGAAUGCGAGAAGAUACGGCUCACCAUCUCACCAAUGCCACAGGAGAUGUGUGGUCUACAAGUGUGGGCUCUUAAAGUGAUCCCGCCAUCAGGUUCAUUGCCUUCCCAACUCAUCUCCGCUCCCUGUUUAAGUACCGGCCAUGGC